GAUGAACGCUGGCGGCGUGCUUAACACAUGCAAGUCGAACGGGAAUUACUUUAUUGAAACUUCGGUCGAUUUAAUUUAAUUCUAGUGGCGGACGGGUGAGUAACGCGUGGGUAACCUGCCUUAUACAGGGGGAUAACAGUCAGAAAUGGCUGCUAAUACCGCAUAAGCGCACAGAGCUGCAUGGCUCAGUGUGAAAAACUCCGGUGGUAUAAGAUGGACCCGCGUUGGAUUAGCUGGUUGGUGGGGUAACGGCCCACCAAGGCGACGAUCCAUAGCCGGCCUGAGAGGGUGAACGGCCACAUUGGGACUGAGACACGGCCCAGACUCCUACGGGAGGCAGCAGUGGGGAAUAUUGCACAAUGGGGGAAACCCUGAUGCAGCGACGCCGCGUGAAGGAAGAAGUAUCUCGGUAUGUAAACUUCUAUCAGCAGGGAAG
rnacentral:rRNA from 1 species